rnacentral:tRNA from 1 species
UGGCUGAGCGGUAAAGCGCAUGGCUUCCAAACCUGAGGUCCCAGGUUCCAAUCCUGG